GAGGAUCUACGGUGAAGAGAGAGAGAGAGGGGGCGUCGGGAGGUUGGGGAAGGGGAUGUCUGGUGGCAGUGAAAGGCAUGGUUGGCGGUGGCAGGAGAAGCGCCGACGGAGGUUGGGGAAGGACAUGUCUGGGGGCGCUGGCGGGGGAUGGGCGGAGGAGGUUGGUGGUAGUGACGUGUGAGAUUAUGAUUGUUAAUUUGUUUUUAACUUUUAAUUUUUCUUAAUUAAAUAUAAUUUAUUUUUAAUUUUUAACAAAAGCGACGUCGUUUCGUCUAAGAAAUUGACACGUCAGUUUCGAUUUUGCCACAUAGGAGACACGUUAGCU
rnacentral:lncRNA from 1 species